AAUAGUUUAUUAAUGAAAUAUUUUGUUCAAUAUUUUACAAUUAUGUAUUUUUAAUAGACUAACCCAAAGGACAUGUAUGUGGGUGAAAAGGGAGUUGCUUUUCACUGCCCAUGAUCUUCUGCCCGGCCCCUAGCCUGGAUGUAACUACAGUGGCCUGAGGGAAAGUUUAUAUUCAUUGGAAAUGUGACUUUUCCCAACAAUAUGAGAUGAUCUAAUGGAAGAUGCCACUCUUGCUUUCUACCCUGAGUCAUAAUUGCCUUUUGGGGCACUGAAAGGAUUCCCCUCUUGGAAUAAAAUGUAGCAGAAGUGAGGUAAGUUCUGCCCCAUGCACUUCCUAAGCACCGUGUAAAGCAUUACUUUGUUUAGCUGAUUUGCAGGAAUAAGAGGAAGAAAGAGAAAGUAGAACAUAGGUGUGCUUGAAUGCUCUGCUGCAUUAAUUUCAGUUAUAGUGGUAUGUGUCAGCUGUUUCUAGAACUAAUCAGCUGAAUUUCUGGCAGUCAAAAUAUUGGAAAGCUGAGGAGUUUAUAAGGAUAGUCAGUAAGAAAACACAUUUUUUAAGUCACCCUUUAAAUAACUUUUGUACUAUAUCUAAACUGUAUCUCUACCCAUAUUUUUAAGUUAUUGGGUACUCCUGAAACUUUCUAGUAUUAAACAAUUUCUGAAGAUAUGACUUUUCACUUUAGUGCUACUACAAUAUCAUAUUCUCAAUAUAAAAAUUUGCAUACAUGUUGAGCCCAGAAAUGCCUUAAUCACGGCCCUAAACUUGUGUGUGUGACAAGCAAGUGAAAUUAGGAUUGAGAAGGAAAUAAGAUAAAACUCUAUAAAGGGGAAGCAGUGGAAACCAGUUCAUUCAGAAGCUCUGCCAUGAACUGAUGAAAGAAGAGAUUUUGUUUUCAGAAAUCCUUACAAAAGUUCUCAUUUUUCAUUCUUAUUUUUAUGUGUAUUAUUAACAUUACCACAUGAAGCCACAGGGUUCCUGAUCCAAAAUUACUGGGUGGCUUCUUUGUGGAAAUUUUAUAUAUGUCUCUUAAAAUAAUUUUGAAUGACAACUUAUUAGCUAGACACAUUAUAAAAUUAUCUUAUAUAUAAUUUUAUGAUUGGUAGUAUCAAUCAUGGAGAUUGAUACAUAUAUAGUAGACUAUGCAUAUUUCUAGCUGGUACAUUAAGUAUACUUGGAUAAUUUUUAUUUAAUCUUUUAAUCUGAAUAUUUAUAUUUUAAUAAUUAAAACCAUGAAAGGUUAAUAUUUUUAGUACAUUAAAAUUUAAUAAAAUUAAUAUCAUAAGCAUAUUCUGACAGAGGGGAAACUAGAUACAUUUCACACUUUUGGGUCUGCCUCCAGUCAGGACUGCUUAAGGGCAAAUCUACAUUCAUCCUUAUUUCUGCAUUUUACUGUAACAUUUUCUUAUAAAGAGGAGUGUCAUUAUUAGUUUGAGUUUGAUUAAUACUAUAUAAAAAAGCCCAUAAUGUUUUAAGAUCAGCAUUGGGUUUUAAUCUGAGUACUUAACAGUGAUGAGACUUAUAUAAGAGAGAAUUUUUAACUUGUUUUUCUAGCAGGGCUUUUUUUCAGAGGUGACCAGUCAUGAAUAUUGUUAGAUUUUUUUUUUUUCUUUUUAGAUUUCUACAGCCCACAGUUUUUCUACAUGAAUGUUUUUAAUGUCUCCUUUAAGUGAUGGGGACACAAUUCUCAAGACAAUUACUAGUCAUUUGAUGAUUAUAUUAAUCUCUGUGCCAGUAGCUAAAACACCAGUGGUUUAAAUCACAAGAUGAGGCAAAUUGAGUGUGCAUUCGUCCAAAGGAAAUCCUCCUAAUCCUCCUAUCAAAAGUGCUACACCUAUUAAAAAAUUUCAGUGUUAAGCUCACUGAAAUGUAGUUCACCAAAGCUCAUGUAUAUUUUCAAGUGGUAUCUAAGUAUGAAAAUAUUUCUAAGGAACUU